GCACCUGUCCGGCAAGACCACAUGGGAGUGUUAUGAACAAGCAACUACCUCUUUUAAUAAUCUAUCAUUUACUUUAAUUUCACGCAAUUAAGAGCAAUUUGCUUGGUCUAGAGAUGUUCUUCUGUGGUAAAUGCUUGCCUGGCAGGCAGGAAGCCUGGGCUUCAAUCUCUGGUAUCUCAACAAAAACCAGCCCUGUUAUCCCAGAAGCAGCACACAUAUAGUAUGCAAGCUGGAAAACAGUUCAAAUGAGAAUACUAAGAACCCCACAAGAGGUCCUGUGACCACACUAUGUUCCCAACAUUCACCCCAGACCUCCACCUCUGCAACAGGACUUGGGUUUUUGCAUUAAGUCCAAGUUGAACUGAGAAGUGAAUGAAAGAUCAUUGUGUUAAACAGAUGCAGCACAGUGGAAAAUUUCUUUUUCCAACUAUUUCCCCCUUAACCUUUCAGUAAUUCAAACAUGGCACAAAUUAACCCAGGGGAGAAAAUGUUUCCUCUUUCCUGGACCUUAAAAAACCAAAAUGUAACUUCUAGCAGCCAGUGUGAUCUUGAUAUAGAGCAACAUUUGCUUGUUUACCAAUAUCCAGUAAGAUCCACUUGUGUUAACUAUGGUGGUAGGGUAUGGGAUGCAGAUCAACUCUCUGUUGCCUAGAGCUUUUAUUUUGGUGAGGGACGUUAAAUGUAGACAAUACAGUGGACAGAUAAAUUUAUUAUGAUAGAAAAAAACCAUAUGGGCUACUGUGUUAGCUAGAGUAAUGAGAAAAGUUGUCUUGGUGGAGGUGAGUUUGAAUAUGGACUGGCAACCCAGAAAAACAUAAUAGGACAAUAGCUUGGGGAAACCAGGUUUAGAUAAGUAGAAUCUAGGGAAAAAGCAAUUAGCUAGAGGUGUUUGUGGGAGCUAGCCACUCUCAAAGUGUAACAGCAGAACUGGUUUUAACUUCAAGUACUAAAACUGAAAAUCGUUCGUUACCUGAUACAGUUACCACGAGUUCCCUUGGCAAACCAAAUAUCCGGUUAUCUGUAUCAAAGACUAUUAGCACAGAACUGGCUGCAUCAUGAUGUACAAAGACCUAGAAGGAUAAAGUGUAAGAAUCAUAAAGAAGUCACUGUGGGGCCUGGAGAGAUGGCUCUGCAGUGAAGAGCACUGGCUGCUCUUCCAGAGGAUUUGGAUUUGGUUCCUAGCAUCCUCCUGGUGGCUCACAACCAUCCAUAACUCCUGUUCUACAGAAUCCAGAGAUCCAAACCCUCUUCUGGCUCUGCUGGCCUCCCAUGUGCAUGGUGCACAGACACAUAUGCAAGCAAACAUCCAUACACAUCAAAUAUUAAAAUUAAAUUUUAAAAAGCCACUAUGGGUAUACUACAGCCCUGCUUCACUAAACACUUUUGGGUCUAUAAAGCAAACUAGGAAGGUAACUGAGUGUCAUCUAAACUACACAAAAUGCUAUUCCAGUUUUUCUUUUGUUGCUGAGAAAUAGAAAACUACCUUUUGGCAACAAAAAGAUAACAGAUGCUAUAAUCAAGAGAUGGGCAUACUUUUCAUUUCUUUAUUCCUUUCAAGCUCUCUAACAAGUUUCAAAAUAAGACACAAAUAUUAUUAACAAUAAACACUUAUAUAAUCUGACUUGAGUUUCUUACCUGUGAAUGCUGCUGCUGGUACCCUUCAGCGAUGGCAUUGAUGUUAUGGACACCAGGAGCUAAAAGCACAUGGAAAUAACCCCCCUCUUUUGUGUGCACUUUUAUUCCAUCAUUAAGUACAAUGACUGCUUUAGAGAUCGGUUUACCAGUCUUGUCUUUAACUAACCCAUGGACUCCUUUGUGGACCUGGAAAAAAUGUUGACAUAAUUUAUGUUUUCACAAUGUCAGCAGAUGUUACAGGCAAUAGUUUGAGGCUUGAUCAAAAUCAACUAAUCUCUAUCUAUCUAUCUAUCUAUCUAUCUAUCUAUCUAUCUAUCUAUCUCUUUCUCUCUCUCUCUCCUUCUACACAAAACAACAACAACACCCUUGUAGUUAUAGGCAGGGCACAUCCUAUAAUCCUAGCUACUUAGGAGGCAGAUGCAGAUGCAGAUGCAGAUGCAGGAAACAGAGGUCAAGGCCACCCCCAUCAAAUUAGCAAACCUGCCUUAAAAAAAGUAGGGGUUUGAUGGUAUAUUAUAGCUCAGCGGCAGAGUGCUUAACAAGCAUACAAAGGGUUCUUCUUGGUACUGCAAAACCCAAACCAAAUCAAACAUGACUUUGUCAGCCUGGCUUAUCCUUCAUCCCCACUGACCCUGACCACAUUUGCUCACCAGUCAGUACUUCAGAGCCAAAGGUAAGAGAAAGAACUGUGACUCUGAAAGCCUAAAGCAUUAGAAGCAGUCUGCAGAUGCCUUGAGUUGCUUCCUUCCAUUGUACAGUGACUGUAACUGGGUGGCCCUCAGUUGGAAGAACAGGAAGCUCCCAAUUAUAUAGCAGAUUAAAGAUAUGUGCAUGCAUGGCAUCUAUUUUGGCAACAAAAAGAUGAGCAAAAUUCAGGCUGGGGAGAUGGCUCGGAGGAGGCGAGUGCUUUCUACUCCAGUGUGAGGAGAGCUGGCAUAAAUCCCCAUAACCCAUGUAAAAGACCAGGCGAACAUGGCAGUCCACCAGUGAUCCAGUGCUCGGGAGGCAGGGACAGAGAUGCCUGAGGCAAGCUGGCUAGCUAGACUAGCUAGAUUACAGAGCUCUGGGUACAGCGAGAUACCCUGUCUCAGUAGAUACGGUGGAAAGUGAGCUCAUCCUGUGACUUCCACAUGCCCAUGUACACAUGAGUAUGACAGCCCACGUAUUAACAGCAUGCACACACAUACCCCACCACCACACACACACACUUCCACACACAAAAGAACAAAAUGUUUCAAUAUACAUUGAAAAAUGUCUUAAUAAAGGUUUUCAUUGAAUAUACUCCUCUGAUGAAGCCUAGCAUGUAUGUAUGAGGCUUUGGGUUUGACUCCCAGUAUCAGAGGGAAACAAACAACUCAAAACAAGCUCACCUCUACCAACAUGCUAAGGAGAGACCUCUUGUUCUCUGCCCACAAGGCAGGGAGUUGAGCUGCACUAGGGAAGUAGCAACAGCUUGUAUACACAGUGAUUUCUGGGCAAUGGCCAUAGGUAACACUAUAAUCCUGAAAUGCAAAGUUCAGAAUCAAAUUAAUACAUGUAAAAAUUAACUUUGUAAGAAAAUGAAAUAAGAAGUGGGUGAUGUAAGCAGCAUUUGAGGUAUAUUUUACAACAAAUAUAAAUAAAUCACCAUGUACAACAAUGGGUCACAUACAGGACAGUGACUCUGCCUACUUCAUUCUAAUGUGGCAGUGCUUCCCACAGACCCUGUUAUUGGGGUUUGCUGAAUGAAUGAGUCCACAUGGAGAGCCGCCUUGCCUCUCAACUUUAGAACUCCACUGUUGCUCCCACAGCACUGGAGGUGGAGGACAAGCCUGAUCCCUUCAGUCUGAGCCUGCUGUGGCAAUGGCCAUGGCCACAGCAGAGUACUUAGUCAAGUGCAGGAACCACUUGUGCAGACAGAUUUAAACGUUACUUGCCAUCACCCUCCCUCAACUGUUCCUUUUUACAUUUACCUAAUGAUAUUAACUAACUUUCUAACAGUCAUGAAAUUUCAUCUUUUUGUUGUAACAUUUUUCUUAUUGACUAUAAUGUAGUUAUAUCAUUUAUCCCUUCUCUUUUCUCCUUCCAAACCCUUCCAUAUACCCGUCCCUGCUCUCUUUCAAGUCCGAGACCUCUUUUCUCAUUGAUUGCUGUUACAUAUAUUAUGUAUAUGCAUAUAUGUCUAAAUAUAACCUGUUCAGUCUA